rnacentral:rRNA from 1 species
AGUGAACGCUGGCGGUAGGCCUAACACAUGCAAGUCGAACGGCAGCACAGUAAGAGCUUGCUCUUACGGGUGGCGAGUGGCGGACGGGUGAGGAAUACAUCGGAAUCUACUUUUUCGGGGGGGAUAACGUAGGGAAACUUACGCUAAUACCGCAUACGACCUACGGGUGAAAGCAGGGGAUCUUCGGACCUUGCGCGAUUGAAUGAGCCGAUGUCGGAUUAGCUAGUUGGCGGGGUAAAGGCCCACCAAGGCGACGAUCCGUAGCUGGUCUGAGAGGAUGAUCAGCCACACUGGAACUGAGACACGGUCCAGACUCCUACGGGAGGCAGCAGUGGGGAAUAUUGGACAAUGGGCGCAAGCCUGAUCCAGCCAUACCGCGUGGGCGAAGAAGGCCUUCGGGUUGUAAAGCCCUUUUGUUGGGAAAGAAAAGCAGCAGGUUAAUACCCCGCUGUUCUGACGGUACCCAAAGAAUAAGCACCGGCUAACUUCGUG